rfam:Dendroctonus ponderosae Seq01020305, whole genome shotgun sequence.
UGUAUCCCGGGAGCUCACAGUCCGAAUUGGGUACAGAGAAGAUUAGCAUGGCCCCUGCGCAAGGAUGACACGCAAAAUCGUGAAGCGUUCCACAUUUUU